AGGAAGCUCUUUUAAUGAUUUUUACACAUCCAAGCGACAAAAGUCAAUAUUUUAUGUAUUUUUAAAAAAAAAAAAAAUAUUGGGAUUUGUUCUGCACAGAUUAAGUUAGAUAAAUUGUAUUACCGACCGCCAAAACUUGAUAAAGUGGUCAAAAUACGUCAAUAAUAAACCACAAUGUGCGGCGAUACUUUAAAAUCUAGUCGAGAAAGCUUUAUCGUCUUGUGCGCGUGAGCGGUUCCUCUUUCCUGUACGCAACAACGAACACACACGGCGCGAGUUGUGAUGUUCGAUGCGCACAAAUGACUCCUACGAACUGAUUCUUUUUGACGAAUGAGUCAAAAUUCACGUCAGGAACUAUAGACCUUAUGUAGCCCCGUCCCUUUUCAGCGUUGCGCUCGUUGUCUUUUGACUUCUGGUUUGUAUUUCCACAGCGAUCUUACAUAUUUAUGAAUGAACUACUCGUUUUAAAAUCCUCCCGGUCUACUGACAUUUGUUAAGACAUCUGCUUUAAACAUUACAAUGCUCAUGAUAACUUUCAUUAACUCUACAACAAGUAAAUCCUCUUAACCAGCUAAUUAUUCUUUGACAGCGAUGCCAUAGAAGUGUACAGAGCUACUGCAAAACGGAAGUUCAAAGACAAUUUUAUAAAUAUGGCGGCACACUUGUUUCUCUGGCGCAUAAGGUCUAUAGAUUCCUCCCAUUUCGUGUAAUAUUUUGUAUGCCAUUUUGUAGUUAAAUAGUUUUAGUAUUGUGUUCACACUGAAAAUUCCAAAAAGAAAACAUAUUUAACCAAAAGACGAAGUGAUGAAUGUUGGGCAUUUCAAGCCUUCAGCUGUCACAGCUUCAGACUCCAAUGCUGGAAGACAAAACCUUCUAAAAUUCAUACACUAAACGAUUGAGAACAUAGUGCAUAGUGUUUGUAUGUGAUUUGGAUACUGCAGAUUGAAUAAAUCAGCGAAUUGUUCAGAACUGUUAUCACUUUACUGACUCACUAAACCGCAAGUCAUUUUACCAUGAUGUCUGAUUUGAUAUGAACUGAGAACCGUUACCGUGAUGUUUACUUGACCUUCGUGAGACUAUGUUCUACAAUUAUUGACAAUUUUACUCACUAUACUGGAUUCUUUGGCAUGUGACUGGCUGAUAUACGUAAUGAUAUGUAACAUAUCAUAGGCUAUAUGUAACUUAUGUAUAUGUCAUAGUUAACAUAUGUAACUUCAGGGGCGUCGAACAUGUGACCCAAAGCUCAGAUCUUAUUAGUUGGCAUGUUUGCAUCAAUGAACGAAGAAAAACAGUUACCUAUAGUAGCUAUAUGUUCGUCUGCAUGAAUAUUCCAUAGCCAGGAAUCUGUUAAUCUUGUUUGUGCUGAAUAUUCAUGUCUGACAUAAAGAGCAUUUAAAAGACAGCAAGACAACUCAAUAGAAUUUAGAUCAGAGUAAAUGUGUCAGCUAAAUGAACCUCUAAGAAGUGCACAGUCGGAGAGCAGUUGGAAACUACUGUCCAUUUUUUACAGUCGUGUGAAAACAAGUGAGAUUUUACUAUCCACAAAGUUUUCUCUGCCUGCCUGUAGUGAGUCAAGUGAAGGAUUUCGAGUGUUUCCUCACUUUGUGUGCCUUCCAGAGAUCUUUCAUACCUUUCCCUUCAAUCAUUCUAUAAUCAAACCUCUGAGAAAAAGUGACGCCAAGAUAAGCUCCUCACUCAGCGUUGCCGUUUGUAUUAGUCUGUUUCUUCACAUGGGUGAACUGCUUACCCACCAGCUGAGACGAAAAGGAUGUCUAUGAUUUCACAUGAGUGCUACAGGUUAAUACGGGAAAAGGAACUUUAAAGAAUACUUUCCUCAGCUCGCAACAACUGACUUGAACAGAAAUCCCUGAAGCCAGAAUUCCUGACUCUCCACAAAGGGGGCCAACAGAAACAGAGGAGGCAAGACAGCAAGGCCACUCGCGAGAAGAGUGACAUGGACGUGCCAUCUGGAUGGGCGCUGAGACCUAAGAGAAUAAACGAAUACGCCCCUGCCAAAAUAAAUACCACACACACAUGGUCUCGGGCUGCUUUGAGCUGAAUAUGCUGGAGCCGAGGUGCCACUACAACAAGGGCAGGGCAUCAGGGCACCGAAGCUGGAGAGUCAUCAAAGCACAUGAAACAUUUAGAGUCUGAUUUCCCCAACACCCUCACAAAGCAUUACCUCUGACAGCCUAGAAAGAAAGCAAAUGGGAUGCAUUAGCGACGGAAAACUGAGCGGCUUGUUCAUAAUUCAAUAAAAUAGAUGGAUUUGAUUAUUCUCUUCCAAAAAAUGAGGUAAAAGCAAGUUUUUCUUUGAAUUAAGGAUUAAUCACACUGUCAGAAGUCCUUAUUCCUUUGCCGACAUGUCAUGCAGCUCAUUUCUGCCUCAGUGUGAAAAAAUAAAAAGGUAACGCUGUCCCUAA